rnacentral:tRNA from 1 species
GAGGGCAUAGUUCAGUGGCAGAGUGUGUGCCUAGCAUGCACAAGGUCCUGGGUUCAAUCCGCAGUACUUCCA